GCCUGGGUGGUGUAAACGGUUAAUGUGCUUGGCUACUAACCAAAAGGUUGGAGGUUCAAGUCCCCCCAGAGACG
rnacentral:tRNA from 1 species